ACGCUCGACACCUACGGGAGGUAGCAGUGGGGAAUAUUGCACAAUGGGGGAAACCCUGAUGCAGCGACGCCGCGUGAGCGAAGAAGUAUUUCGGUAUGUAAAGCUCUAUCAGCAGGGAAGAAACUGACGGUACCUGACUAAGAAGCACCGGCUAAAUACGUGCCAGCAGCCGACGGUAAUCUGAGCGGCUGGCAAGGC
rnacentral:rRNA from 1 species